CCCAUUGAUUGACGGUGCUUGCACCUGAUUGAUUUUGCUCGCCAACGAGUGGCGGACGGGUGAGUAACACGUAGGUAACCUGCCCAGAAGCGGGGGACAACAUUUGGAAACAGAUGCUAAUACCGCAUAACAACGUUGUUCGCAUGAACAACGCUUAAAAGAUGGCUUCUCGCUAUCACUUCUGGAUGGACCUGCGGUUCAUUAGCUUGUUGGUGGGGUAACGGCCUACCAAGGCGAUGAUGCAUAGCCGAGUUGAGAGACUGAUCGGCCACAAUGGGACUGAGACACGGCCCAUACUCCUACGGGAGGCAGCAGUAGGGAAUCUUCCACAAUGGGCGCAAGCCUGAUGGAGCAACACCGCGUGAGUGAAGAAGGGUUUCGGCUCGUAAAGCUUUGUUGUUAAAGAAGAACACGUAUGAGAGUAACUGUUCAUACGUUGACGGUAUUUAACCAGAAAGUCACGGCUAACUACGUGCCAGCAGCCGCGGUAAUACGUAGGUGGCAAGCGUUAUCCGGAUUUAUUGGGCGUAAAGAGAGUGCAGGCGGUUUUCUAAGUCUGAUGUGAAAGCCUUCGGCUUAACCGGAGAAGUGCAUCGGAAACUGGAUAACUUGAGUGCAGAAGAGGGUAGUGGAACUCCAUGUGUAGCGGUGGAAUGCGUAGAUAUAUGGAAGAACACCAGUGGCGAAGGCGGCUACCUGGUCUGCAACUGACGCUGAGACUCGAAAGCAUGGGUAGCGAACAGGAUUAGAUACCCUGGUAGUCCAUGCCGUAAACGAUGAGUGCUAGGUGUUGGAGGGUUUCCGCCCUUC
rnacentral:rRNA from 1 species